GGGGUCAAUGAUUGGGGUGAAGUCGUAACAAGGUAGCCGUAUCGGAAGGUGCGGCUGGAUCACCUCCUUU
rnacentral:ncRNA from 1 species